AUGGAUCCCGGCGAUGCACCGGAACGGAUUCGCGAGGAAACGGGUUCUCGGAGCAGAGACGGCCUGCCUCAGCGUGACGCGACUGGAGCAGGUCCAGAUGCUAAUCGCGAUGGGGGAGACCGCGUCCUUACCAAGCGCCUGAAGGAUGAAUCGCCUGACACAUCGGAGCCGCCGCCGUCACGGCUGAAGAAGGAUGUGGAGCUGGAGCCUCACCCCGCUCAGAACAGAGACGAGCAGUUCGUCUGGCCCUGGAUGGGAGUGCUGGUCAAUGUGCCUACUGAGUGGAAAGGAGGGCGCCAGGUCGGGGAAAGUGGGAACCGCCUGAAGGAGCAGCUCUCGGCCUUUUGCCCGCACAAGGUCAUUCCUUUGUGGAACCAUAGAGGCCACACCGGGAACGCCAUUGUUGAGUUUGGAAAAGACUAUGCUUCUUUCUGCAAUGCCUUCAAGUUUGAGAACCACUUUGAGGCAGAAGGAUAUGGCAAGCGAGACUGGGAGCAGCACAAGUAUCGAGGGCCCGAGAUGUUUGGAUGGGUUGCAAGGGCUGAGGAUCAAAGAGCCCCGGGACCGAUCGGGGAGCAUCUGCAGAAAAACGGUGAUCUGAAAACCGUUGCAGAACUUGAGAAUGAAGGAACACGCAAAACCGACAAGCUGGUAGCUAAUUUGGCCAGCGCAAUUGAGGUAAAGACCAAGCAUGCCCAAGAACUUGAAUGCAAGUACAAUGAGACGACCACCUCACUUGACAAGGUGAUGGAAGAAAAGGAGCUGGUCCUCCAGAGAUACAAUGAUGAAAUCCGCAAUAUGCAGCAACUUGCUCGUAGGCAUUCUCAGAUGAUCCUUAAUGAGAAUCAGAAGCUUCGUUCGGAACUGGAGGCCAAGAUGCAGGAUCUUGAAUUGAAAUCCAGGCAGCUUGAUGAGCUUGCUGUGCGUAGUGACUCGGAUAGAAGGAACCUUGAGAAAGAGAAGGAGAAGAAUGAGAUCAAAGCAAAGUAUCUUAAGAUGGCAACGUCGGAGCAACAGAGGGCAGAUGAAAAUGUGCUGAAGCUUGUGGCAAAACACAAGAGGGAGAAAAAGGCUGCUCUAGAUGAGAUUAUCAAGUUAGAGCAGAAACUGGAUGCCAAACAGAAGCUUGAGCUAGAAAUAAAACAGUUGCAGGGAAAAUUGGAAGUGAUGAAGCAUAUGCCAGGUGAAGAAGACUCUGAAUCAAAGAGGAAAAUAGAUGAACUUAGUGCCGAGCUCCAGGACAAGUAUGAUGAAAUGGAUGCAGUGGAAGCACUCCACCACACUCUGCUUAUGAAGGAAAGGAUAAGCAACGAUGAGUUGCAAGAUGCUCGGAAGAAGCUAAUAGAUGGUCUGCGGGAUGUUACAACUGCCCGAGCAACUAUAGGCGUUAAAAGAAUGGGUGAUCUUGAUCUGAAAUCGUUUGCUAAGGCUUGCAAAGGUAAAAUGUCAGAAGAAGAUGCAGAAGUAACUGCUUCCAUUCUUUGUUCAAAGUGGGAAGAGGAGAUUAAAAAUCCAGAAUGGCACCCUUUUAAAGUUAUCAUGGUCGAGGGUAGAGAGAAGGUAGAAAUUCUCCGUGAGGAUGACGAGAAGCUGCAGGAACUGAAAGAAGAGCAUGGUGAGGAAGUCUAUGGGCUGGUGACAAAGGCUUUGCUUGAAGUGAAUGAGUACAACCCUAGCGGCCGCUAUUCUGUGCCGGAGCUGUGGAACUACAAAGAGAAUAGGAAGGCAACCCUGAAAGAAGUGGUCCAGUACGUGCUGAGGCAGUGGCGCACACAGAAGCGGAAGCGCUGA
rnacentral:rRNA from 1 species